rnacentral:rRNA from 1 species
UUGGAGGGCAAGUCUGGUGCCAGCAGCCGCGGUAAUUCCAGCUCCAAUAGCGUAUAUUAAAGUUGUUGCAGUUAAAAAGCUCGUAGUUGAAUUUCGGGGUUAGUAGGUUGGUCAUGCCUCUGGUAUGUACUGGUCUCACUGAUUCCUCCUUCCUGAUGAACCUUAAUGCCAUUUAUUUGGUGUUUUGGGGGAUUUGGACUGUUACUUUGAGAAAAUUAGAGUGUUUAAAGCAAGCUAACGCUUGAAUACAUUAGCAUGGAAUAAUGAAAUAGGACGUUCGAUCCUAUUUUGUUGGUUUCUAGGAUUGACGUAAUGAUUAAUAGGGAUAGUUGGGGGCAUUAGUAUUCAAUUGUCAGAGGUGAAAUUCUUGGAUUUAUUGAAGACUAACUACUGCGAAAGCAUUUGCCAAGGAUGUUUUCAUUAAUCAAGAACGAAAGUUAGGGGAUCGAAGACGAUCAGAUACCGUCGUAGUCUUAACCAUAAACUAUGCCGACUAGGGAUCGGAUGAUGUUAAUUUUUUAAUGACUCAUUCGGCGCCUUACGGGAAACCAAAGUGUUUGGGUUC